UGUUUUUUUUUUUUGAUAACUCAGGUGUCCCAGCUUAGCCGGACUAAAUCCUGGACCUCUAGCCCCCGGCCCCUCAGUGACUAGUGGAGGUAAAUCGCAGGUUGUGCCCUUGUUGGUUCCCAGGUUCCCACAUGGCUUUUACUCCUUCCCCAAAGGGACCCUCCUCCAUAGUUAUUACAUCACCAAGCUGCUCCAACCCUUCCUCUGGUUAUUACAUCACUUGGCUGCUCCAAC
rnacentral:lncRNA from 1 species